AGGGAAGGUUCCUGGCUACUCCAGCUCAAUGAUUCCCUCCCUUUGUUAUGCACACUCCUGGGUAACAAACCAGGCUCACCCCGGUGUGUGACACCAGAGCACCGAGGUCGUUUCCCCUCCUUCUGGCCCCUGCUGAUUUAAUUCCAGGGUUGAUUUAAUAAGCAGAACCCGUUUUUUGGAGCUGAGGCCACCGAACAACCUCCCAGCAGCAAACAUAAAAUAACACCUUCAGCUUCCCAUCAAAUACUGCUUGUCAUAUUUAAUGGUCUAGACAAAAGAUCACCACUUUCCCUUCCUCCUUUCCAGUCAGUCUGUCCCUAAUGAUGGCAAGAUGAAAAGCAGGAUCCUGGUGGAUACUGGAGUGGAAAAGGAUUUGUUGUAGCUGCUGCCAGCAGAGCUUUUGAAGAAAAGUAUCUGAAAAGCCUCUCCUCUGUUCUGCUUCAUUAGGCAGCUCAGUGUUCAAAAGAAACAUUGCUUUUCACAACUGGCUCUGGAGUCAUUAAGAGCAGCACGAGUGAAUGGGUUUUGUUUGCCUGCCUCGAGGAAAAAGCCAUCACAGAGAUCUCAUCUUCAAGACCAUCCCUGCUCCUGGCUCCAUAUUUGCAGGCACUUCAGUUCCUGCAGGAACACAGAAACGCUGUCAAAGCUGCAGCAGUGCCUGGUGAUGACUGAAACACAGAGAUGCAGCACUGAAAAAUAAAUGGGUUUUUAUCAACCCAGAUAUUUGAACACUAACCCAAUCAUAAAUAUCAACAUAUAAUAAAAACUAAGAGAAUGCAA